GUCAUCAUCAGUAGAACAGGAUGGAGCUCCGUCCACUCUGUGUGAUGAUCUUGUUGACUGGACUCCAUUGUACACAAGCAGAUUAUGCACACACACAAGAUAAUUCUGCUGCAUCUUUGC